rnacentral:rRNA from 1 species
UGGCACUCAGUGUCGAAGCUAACGCGUUAAGUUCGCCGCCUGGGGAGUACGGUCGCAAGACUGAAACUCAAAGGAAUUGACGGGGGCCCGCACAAGCGGUGGAGUAUGUGGUUUAAUUCGAUGCAACGCGAAGAACCUUACCUGGUCUUGACAUGUCCGGAAUCCUGCAGAGAUGCGGGAGUGCCUUCGGGAAUCGGAACACAGGUGCUGCAUGGCUGUCGUCAGCUCGUGUCGUGAGAUGUUGGGUUAAGUCCCGCAACGAGCGCAACCCUUGUCCUUAGUUGCCAGCACGUAAUGGUGGGAACUCUAAGGAGACUGCCGGUGACAAACCGGAGGAAGGUGGGGAUGACGUCAAGUCACCAUGGCCCUUACGACCCAGGGCUACACACGUACUACAAUGGGGGGUACAGAGGGUUGCGAAGCCGCGAGGUGAAGCCAAUCCCAGAAAACCCCUCUCAGUCCGGAUCGUAGUCUGCAACUCGACUACGUGAAGUCGGAAUCGCUAGUAAUCGCGAAUCAGCAUUGUCGCGGUGAAUACGUUNCCCGGGCCUUGUACACACCGCCCGUCACANCCAUGGGAGUUGGUUGCUCCAGAAGCAGGUAGUCUAACCGUAAGGGGGACGCUUGCCACGGAGUGGUCAAUGACUGGGGUGAAGUCGUAACCAAGGUACC